rnacentral:rRNA from 1 species
UACAGAGGUCUCAAGCGUUGUUCGGAUUCAUUGGGCGUAAAGGGUGCGUAGGCGGCGCGGUAAGUCGGGUGUGAAAUCUCGGAGCUUAACUCCGAAACUGCAUUCGAUACUGCCGUGCUUGAGGACUGGAGAGGAGACUGGAAUUUACGGUGUAGCGGUGAAAUGCGUAGAUAUCGUAAGGAAGACCAGUGGCGAAGGCGGGUCUCUGGACAGUUCCUGACGCUGAGGCACGAAGGGCAGGGGAGCAAACGGG